rnacentral:rRNA from 1 species
UACGGGGGGGGCAAGCGUUGUUCGGAAUUACUGGGCGUAAAGGGCUCGUAGGUAGCCAACUAAGUCAGACGUGAAAUCCCUCGGCUUAACCGGGGAACUGCGUCUGAUACUGGAUGGCUUGAGGAAUGGAGGGGAGACUGGAAUACUUGGUGUAGCAGUGAAAUGCGUAGAUAUCAAGUGGAACACCAGUGGCGAAGGCGAGUCUCUGGACAUUUCCUGACGCUGAGGCACGAAAGCCAGGGGAGCAAACGGG